UCCUGAUUUCACAGCCGUCCAUUUCGUAACAGAACGAGAAGAGGAAUUUGGGUGAUUUGAAAGUGAAGGGCUUUGGAAGAGAUGAACAAGAAAUUCCGAGCAGAGGAAAAGUAUUCGAUCAAAGGUAGAAGAAGGUGAUGAGCCGAGGAAGAAAAUCAAGGGUCUGGAAUCAGUUGUUGCAGAGAGAAACAAACCCGAGUUUGAUAAGUGGAUCAUGGAGAAAUGAGUGUGUAGGAGGCGUUUUGAGAGAUUAGGAGAAGAAGUUCUUGGGAACAAUCAAGAUAUCAAUGGACAGAAAAUAAAAAACACAAAUACAAAACAGAUAGACACAAUCUGAAAAGCAAAAUCAAAAAGGGUGGUUUCUUUCUUUCCUCUGUUCUUCUUCUUCUUCCUCAUCAUCUGGUGAAAAAUUCGUUAGUUUGUCUUUUGAUCUUUUCAUUUUGUAGUAGAUGUCUUGAGAAGAUCAAGAACUCCACAACAGUUCUUCCACCACGGCGUCGUCUCAACCCCUCUCUCACCACUUAACAAAGGCUGCAAACACACAUUCCAAAAACACGAUGAGAUUUACAAAUCUUUCUGGUCUCGGCUUGCAACGGUGCUGCUCGACGCGCCACCAACAGCAUUGGUAACAGCUCCAACGAGCUUUGAGGAAACUUCGGUUCUCUUCUCCUCAAAAACAUGAAGCAAAGAUUUGGCUCCUUCUAUACCUCUUGACAGAGCAUUGUCCACUGCAUCUCUUGCCUAUAACCACACACCAUCAUAUUACAAUAUGUUACUUUAAAGAGACAAAACAAACAUGUCAAAAGAGUUUGAGAGUGACCAAGAACCGACCUGUGUAGACACAUCAGACACUUUCUCUGGUGCGGCUGCAGCCUCGGUCUUG